rnacentral:lncRNA from 1 species
AUGGAGACACAGAUCGAAAACUUUUUGGAACAGUUCAAGCUGAGCUCCGCGCGAGCAAUGGAGGAGUUUGAGAUGAAACGAAGCUCAACCUUAGGACUCUCCCUGACUGGAUUAUCAGGAACAGGCGAUGGCACCUCAACCUCCGAGUCUGAUUGCAUGAAACGAAUCCAUAAUCCGAACAGCCGAGACCCACUUUUCUCGUAGUUCAAGUGCGAUUUAGACCAAUCUGAUUAUGUAAGUACCCUCGCGUCGAUGUUGAACAUCGCAUAAACCCGCAUUUUUUCAGCAUAGAACUGGUCGAUGAAAAUAGUUGUUCAGUCCGACUUUCAAUUGGACGUAUUUCUAUCAAACAGAACUAUGUGCAUUAUGAUGUGAGCCCUGUUAAGCAUAUAUUCUUAUGGGUCUCAGGGCUCAUGUCUUAAUGCACAUAGUUCCGUUUGACAGAAAUACGUCCAAUUGGACGUAUUUCUAUCAAACAUACCUAUGUGCAAGUGAGAAAUGUGGGGUGUGCUCGUUAGUUCUCUGGCCGUAAGAGUGAAUGAGAAUAAUGAAACGCCAGUGACGUCAGCGGCGAUAAGAAACCGUCGCCGUUGUAGCUCGUGGGCUGCAUUAACUCAUGAGCCCUGCCCACAACGCUCUUGUGCUAUCCUCGCGGCUCAUGAAUCCCGCAUUCAGUUGGCACAUAGGUCUGUUUGAUAGAAUGCAAUAUCCCGCUUUUCCAAUUCUUCAAAAGGAUUCACGCACACUUUUACAUUUCUUCUUAUGCAGCUUCCACGAGCACACCCCAUAUUUCUCACCUGCACAUAGGUUUGUUUGGUAGAAAUACGUCCAAUUUGUAUUCGACCUCGCUUGGCACGUCUCUUUGUAUCGAAAAAAAUUGGGCUUUUACUUCCUUGUACCUAAAAGUUUUGAGCCAUCCGGUACCAGGAAAAUGUAAUUUAUUGUUAGUUUCAAUGAGCAUGAUACUUGAAUUUUAUUGAGUACCUAAAAUCUCGAAUCAAAGGUGGAUUUUGCAACAUACAUUGUACUCUCUUCUACAGUGAUGAACUAUAUAUUCAGCAGGGCAAUGGUUGCAUGAAAUUUUGUCUUCGCUGGGACACAGUAAGAGA